rnacentral:rRNA from 1 species
AUUGAACGCUGGCGGCAGGCCUAACACAUGCAAGUCGAGCGGUUGCAGGGAGAUGCUUCCUUGUUUCCUCAGCGGACGGGUACGUAAUGGCAAUGAAUCGGCAACUGAGUGGUGGAGAACGUUCGCUAAUGGGCGCUAAUACCACAUACGUAUAGAGUGACAAAGCGAGGGAGCGGGGGACUUCACGCUAUCACAUGAGCAUAGGUCGGAUUGGCUAGUUGGUGGGGUAAAGGCAUACCAAGGCGACGAUCCGUAACUGGUCUGAGAGGAUGAUCAGUCACGCUGGAACUGAGACACGGUCCAGACUCCUACGGGAGGCAGCAGUGGGGAAUAUUGGACAAUGGGCGAAAGCCUGAUCCAGCCAUGCCGCGUGUGUGAAGAAGGUCUUCGGAUUGUAAAGCACUUUAAGUUGGGAGGAAGGGCAGUAAGUUAAUACCUUGCUGUUUUGACGUUACCAACAGAAUAAGCACCGGCUAACUUCGUG